rnacentral:rRNA from 1 species
GUAGGGGGCUAGCGUUAACCGGAUUUACUGGGCGUAAAGGGUGCGUAGGUGGUUUCUUAAGUCAGGAGUGAAAGGCUACGGCUCAACCGUAGUAAGCUCUUGAAACUGGGAAACUUGAGUGCAGGAGAGGAAAGUGNAAUUCCUAGUGUAGCGGUGAAAUGCGUANAUAUUAGGAGGAACACCAGUAGCGAANGCGGCUUUCUGGACUGUAACUGACACUGAGGCACGAAAGCGUGGGGAGCAAACAGGAUUANAUACCCUGGUANUCCACGCCGUAAACGAUGAGUACUAGGUGUCGGGGGUUACCCCCCUCGGUGCCGCAGCUAACGCAUUAAGUACUCCGCCUGGGGAGU